rnacentral:rRNA from 1 species
UCCUACGGGAGGCAGCAGUGAGGAAUAUUGGUCAAUGGACGGAAGUCUGAACCAGCCAUGCCGCGUGCAGGAUGACGGCUCUAUGAGUUGUAAACUGCUUUUGUAUUAGGGUAAACACCCCUACGUGUAGGGGCUUGAAAGUAUAAUACGAAUAAGGAUCGGCUAACUCCGUGCCAGCAGCCGCGGUAAUACGGAGGAUGCGAGCGUUAUCCGGAUUUAUUGGGUUUAAAGGGUGCGUAGGCGGAAUGCCAAGUCAGCGGUAAAAUCGCGGGGCUCAACCUCGCUCCGCCGUUGAAACUGGCGUU